GUGCCUCGCGCGGGAGAGCAUGGCCAAGAGCCAUCGCCGAAGGAGCAACCGCCCCGGAAUCUCUCAGGCACCCGGACCGCGCCAGGCCC
rnacentral:ncRNA from 2 species